GCAAUCGCCCUUCGGGAUGCACCAGGCGCGAAAACUCUACAAUGCAGGCAACUGCGAUAGGGGAACAUCGAGUGAUCCUCAUAUUGGGGGUCUGUCCCACCGUCUAAAAAACGGUGGUUAGCAAGGGCCGGGCAAGACCGGUGCCAGCCGCCGCGGUAAUACCGGCGGCUCGAGUGGUGGCCGAUAUUAUUGAGUCUAAAGGGUCCGUAGCCGGCUUUGCAAGUCUCUCGGGAAAUCCAGCGGCUUAACCGUUGGUCGUCCGGGGGGUACUACAUUGCUUGGGACUGGGAGAGGUAGGAGGUACUCAGGGGGUAGGAGUGAAAUCCUGUAAUCCUCUGGGGACCACCGGUGGCGAAGGCGUCCUACCAGAACAGGUCCGACGGUGAGGGACGAAAGCUAGGGGCACGAACCGGAUUAGAUACCCGGGUAGUCCUAGCCGUAAACGAUGCUCGCUAGGUGUCACAACAGUCGUGAACUGUUGUGGUGCCGUAGGGAAGCCGUGAAGCGAGCCACUUGGGAAGUACGACCGCAAGGUUGAAACUUAAAGGAAUUGGCGGGGGAGCAC
rnacentral:rRNA from 1 species